UAGGACGUUAUCAAAUCUGGAUCAUUUAUAAACCUUGUUCUGAAACAAACACUUGGCUUGGAGUGUUUGGAGAAAUGGGAACACAGCAAUCACCCUUUGAUGUGGAACAAGACAAGCAAGAGGAGAUCACCUGGAAGAAGUGGUCCCAGUUCGUUACCAAUUGAACCCUGGAGUGGUUUGUUUGCAGUGAGGACCCGGCAACCAGAACAGAGAGCUGCAUUACUCAUCACACUAGUACACUCUUAACAGUUGGCAUUUCAAUUGAGCAUUGCAACCCUCCUCCACCCUGGUGACCUCCAAUUCAUCAUAUCAGUGUCCACCUCCUCUGCUCAUCCUGCAACCCUACCAACACCGGUGGCUUGACUUCAUAGGGGCAGAAGUGAGGUGGGGGGUGUAACCUGCUCUCAGCCUCAUGAUCCCUUUUGAAUACAUGAAGACAUCACGAUGGAGUCUAAUUCCCCACAGACACUGCACAUUUCUCAUAUUUUCUAAACUUCUACACUUGUUAAUUUAAUAAUUAUUUACUCAUAGUGAAGUCUAUCCCGAUUUGACCUGUAUUUGAUUUAAAUCACAAUAAAGGAAAACUUGACUCCCCUUGA